UGGCGGACGGGUGAGUAACGCGUAAAGAACUUGCCCUUUAGACUGGGAUAACAGAGGGAAACUUCUGAUAAUACUGGAUAAGUUAGUAUAUCGCAUGAUAUGCAAAUGAAAGCUACGGCACUAAAGGAGAGCUUUGCGUCCUAUUAGCUAGUUGGUAAGUUAAGAGCUUACCAAGGCGAUGAUAGGUAGCCGGCCCUGAGAGGGUGGACGGCCACAAGGGGACGUGAGAUACGGCCCUUACUCCUACGGGAGGCAGCAGCA
rnacentral:rRNA from 1 species